GAUGAACGCUGGCGGCGUGCUUAACACAUGCAAGUCGAACGAGAAGUGAAGACGGAAACCUUCGGGCGGAAGGCUUUAUUUCGAGUGGCGGACGGGUGAGUAACGCGUGGGUAACCUGCCUCAUACAGGGGGAUAACAGUUGGAAACGACUGUUAAUACCGCAUAAGACCACAGCACCGCAUGGUGCGGGGGUAAAAACUCCGGUGGUAUGAGAUGGACCCGCGUUCGAUUAGCCAGUUGGCGGGGUAACGGCCCACCAAAGCGACGAUCGAUAGCCGAUCUGAGAGGAUGACCGGCCACAUUGGGACUGAGACACGGCCCAAACUCGUACGGGAGGCAGCAGUGGGGAAUAUUGCACAAUGGGGGAAACCCUGAUGCAGCGACGCCGCGUGAGUGAAGAAGUAUUUCGGUAUGUAAAGCUCUAUCAGCAGGGAAGAAAAUGACGGUACCUGAGUAAGAAGCCCCGGCUAACUACGUG
rnacentral:rRNA from 1 species